rnacentral:rRNA from 1 species
UACGAAGGGGGGCUAGCGUUGCUCGGAAUGACUGGGCGUAAAGGGCGCGUAGGCGGAGUGCUUUGUCAGGCGUGAAAUUCCAGGGCUUAACCUUGGGGCUGCGUUUGAGACGGGCAUUCUUGAGUAUGGAAGAGGGUCGUGGAAUUCCCAGUGUAGAGGUGAAAAUUCGUAGAUAUUGGGAAGAACACCGGUGGCGAAGGCGGCUACACUGGCUCGAUUACUGACGCUCAGGCGCGAUAGCGUGGGGAUCAAACAGG